rnacentral:rRNA from 1 species
UACGGGGGGGGGCAAGCGUUGUUCGGAAUUACUGGGCGUAAAGGCUCGUAGGCGGCCAACUAAGUCCGACGUGAAAUCCCAAGGCUUAACCUUGGAACUGCGUCGGAUACUGGAUGGCUUGAAUUCGGGAGAGGGAUGCAGAAUUCCAGGUGUAGCGGUGAAAUGCGUAGAUAUCUGGAGGAAUACCGGUGGCGAAGGCGGCAUCCUGGACCGACAUUGACGCUGAGGAGCGAAAGCUAGGGGAGCAAACGGG